AAGAGAUAUAUAUAUAUAUAUAUAUAUAUAUAUACAAGUGAUCGAUAUAUAUAUAUAUAUAUAAUUGAUUUAAGGGCUGUAUUAAUCUACACGUAAAUUAGAAAAGGAUAGACAGAGAUAUACAGUACGAUUAAUCGAUGAAAAGCAUUAGAAUUAAUUAUUAUACCGAUUAAUUAAUUGAAUGCAUACACGUGUAUACAUUUAACAGCAGCAGUAAAAAAUGAUGUACUUGUAUACAUAAAUACCAAUACAAUAUUAUUAUUACAAUUAUUAUUAUAUAUUAUACAUACAAAUAUAUUAUAUUGUAUACACAUUAGUGAAUGUUCAAUGUUGAAAUAAAAUACAUAUACGUUGUUUACACCAUAACAGGUUAUA